CACAAUAAAAUAUGAAGGCUGUACGCGGCUGUGCUCUCGGGCCAGUUUUGCGGAGGCUGAAUUAUUUAUUACCCUUGUCUUUUGCGCACUCGUUGUUUCCUGGGCGGGUUCGCCCGCCACCAGGACCACAUCAUAAACCUUUUUUAUGCAGUUGCAAUCAGCGUCAGUAUAACAAAUGUAAAUCAUUUA
rnacentral:misc_RNA from 1 species